AACGUUCAAAGAUCCACAUUAUGCUUCUAAAACAUCAUACUAAAAUUUCAUUAUGAUCAAACGGUUGGAUCUCCGCCAAUUGCAAAUUCAAGUGGCGGUUAACGUUUUAUUUUAUGAACUUACAAUUCUAAUUCGGGAAGAUCCGAGCAUCGGAUUCCUGAUCCAUAAGUUCCUAUGCUCUUCAAAUAUUACGUACUAUAACGGAUUGAAUUUUGGUGACGAUUAAACGGUCAGAUUGUCGAUUCAUUUACUAACCAAGCAACGUAUCAUAAUGAAUUUAGGUUCAAACAAUCAACCCGCGUCAUACGAAUAUCAACACUGAAUUUAAGACAUCUAAUUUAGCCUAAAAUAAGCAUCAACAGCCCCUUAGCCAUGCAUCGCCGUGGGUGGCGGUUGGCAGUCCCGACUUGCUUGAAAAUUUCAACUAUUUCUAAAAAUUAUCAAAAUUUACAGGAAUGAAGAUCUCAACAAGCAGAACAAGUUUCAUACAUGUGACUAAGGUUAAUUUGGCUGGGAAACACCUCAAUUUCACUCAAACCCGUAGGACACCCUUGAAUUUGGGUGUUCUUGAUUCGACUCCAAAACAACUCCGACGCACCAACCAAUGCUUGGGUUUUGUUCCAGGCCUCAAGGGAAAUCUAAUCGAUAGGAUUUCAUUCAAAAAUGGCGGAUCGCCGUCAAUGAUGCCGUCGGCAUUGUGCUCAUUCUUUCACGAAAUUGAACUCAAAGGCCCUUAAAUUUGAGCUAAGAUGGUAGAUAGGGAGUUGUGGUAUAGCUUUUGGGUGAUGGAAUGGUAAAUUUC
rnacentral:lncRNA from 1 species